UACAGAGGGUGCAAGCGUUAAUCGGAAUUACUGGGCGUAAAGCGUGCAUAGACGGUUAUGUAAGUCGGGUGUGAAAGCCCCGGGCUCAACCUGGGAAUUGCAUUCGAGACUGCAUAGCUAGGGUGCGGAAGAGGGAAGCGGAAUUUCCGGUGUAGCGGUGAAAUGCGUAGAUAUCGGAAGGAACACCAGUGGCGAAAGCGGCUUCCUGGUCCAGCACCGACGUCAGGCACGAAAGCGUGGGGAGCAAACAGG
rnacentral:rRNA from 1 species